ensembl:lncRNA
AGCAAGUUCACUGAAAGAACCCACUAUGAGAGCAGACAUUAAUACUAAUUCACAUGGUUUCUUUCGUUUGCAUUGAUGUUUUGCAGAUAAUUGGCGUACUCGGUUCAGUUGUGAAAAGGGCAAAAUAUAAAAGGAGAAAACAUCCUCUGUCUGCAUCCGAGCUCUGCACUUAUAUCCGGGAUGUGACUCUGGCGCUUGUUGGCAAAGGCAAGCAGAAAUGGACUGUUCAUACCACCAGUAAUAAUUUUGUCCUGGAAGAGUUUGAGGAUCUCGUUGAUGAGCUCCUGGUCAAGCUCAACGUCAUUUCCAGUAGCGAUGAAGACCAGGACAACUAUGAGGACCAGAAUACGCUUCAGUCAGCAUGUGACUACAGCUCAGAGGUUGGUGCUGAAAACAAAAUGGAGGAAAUGGAAAUAAUGCCAAGUACGUGUCGUGAAUUUUUACACCCUCAUGAGGAAAACAGUCUCAGGUCACUGCUUGAAUGGAACACCCUGCAGCGCUUUAGACGAAGUGGGGAAACAAUCCGUGACUGGGCUUUUUACGCUGAUCAAAAGGCCCAUACGAACAUCUCCACAUCCCCUGUAAAGAAGCUAAAGGACUCCCAAACUUCUCUCUGCAUAAAACAAAUGACCAGUGUUCAUAUUGAAGGCAGUGAGAUGCUAAGGGCAAAUAAAUCACAAACAUUUAAGAUGACCAGGGAGGACAAUGAAUGCAAUAAUACUAUCCCGAAUCAAGCUUUUAGCUCACAACUCCCUCUGGGUUUCAUCUCUCCGACUGACGCGCUCACAAAGCAUCCAUCUCGCAGAAAGUCAUGUGGACAGUUCGGUUUAAAUGAAUCAUAUGUAGAAAAACAUGAAAUACAGGCUGAAGAGGAAGCUGUACACAUUCCAGGUCAGUGCUGUUGAGGGUUUUUUACAAUGCUUCAUGUUACAGUGAUGCAAUACAAUGAAGAAUGUCAAUAGAGACUUGAAUUUAAGUGCAAAAAUCAGAAUUAGAACGUUAUUACUUUGAAAGUACAGUAUGAAACAUAUCUC